rnacentral:rRNA from 1 species
UACGUAGGGCGCGAGCGUUGUCCUGAAUUAUUGGGCGUAAAGAGCUCGUAGGCGGCCUGUUGCGUCUGCUGUGAAAUCCCGGGGCUUAACCCCGGGCGUGCAGUGGAUACGGGCAGGCUGGAGGCAGGCAGGGGAGAAUGGAAUUCCCGGUGUAGCGGUGAAAUGCGCAGAUAUCGGGAAGAACACCCGUGGCGAAGGCGGCACUCUGGGACGGUACUGACGCUGAGACGCGAAAGCGUGGGGAGCGAACAGG